rnacentral:rRNA from 1 species
CGGGUGAGUAACACGUGGGUAACCUGCCCAUAAGACUGGGAUAACUCCGGGAAACCGGGGCUAAUACCGGAUAACAUUUUGAACUGCAUGGUUCGAAAUUGAAAGGCGGCUUCGGCUGUCACUUAUGGAUGGACCCGCGUCGCAUUAGCUAGUUGGUGAGGUAACGGCUCACCAAGGCAACGAUGCGUAGCCGACCUGAGAGGGUGAUCGGCCACACUGGGACUGAGACACGGCCCAGACUCCUACGGGAGGCAGCAGUAGGGAAUCUUCCGCAAUGGACGAAAGUCUGACGGAGCAACGCCGCGUGAGUGAUGAAGGCUUUCGGGUCGUAAAACUCUGUUGUUAGGGAAGAACAAGUGCUAGUUGAAUAAGCUGGCACCUUGACGGUACCUAACCAGAAAGCCACGGCUAACUACGUGCCAGCAGCCGCGGUAAUACGUAGGUGGCAAGCGUUAUCCGGAAUUAUUGGGCGUAAAGCGCGCGCAGGUGGUUUCUUAAGUCUGAUGUGAAAGCCCACGGCUCAACCGUGGAGGGUCAUUGGAAACUGGGAGACUUGAGUGCAGAAGAGGAAAGUGGAAUUCCAUGUGUAGCGGUGAAAUGCGUAGAGAUAUGGAGGAACACCAGUGGCGAAGGCGACUUUCUGGUCUGUAACUGACACUGAGGCGCGAAAGCGUGGGGAGCAAACAGGAUUAGAUAACCUGGUAGUCCACGCCGUAAACGAUGAGUGCUAAGUGUUAGAGGGUUUCCGCCCUUUAGUGCUGAAGUUAACGCAUUAAGCACUCCGCCUGGGGAGUACGGCCGCAAGGCUGAAACUCAAAGGAAUUGACGGGGGCCCGCACAAG